rnacentral:rRNA from 1 species
UACGUAGGUGGCAAGCGUUGUCCGGAUUUACUGGGCGUAAAGAGCGCGCAGGCGGUCGUUCAAGUCGCGUGUGAAAGCCCCCGGCUCAACUGGGGAGGGUCACGCGAUACUGAUCGACUGGAAGGCAGGAGAGGGUAGUGGAAUUCCCGGUGUAGUGGUGAAAUGCGUAGAUAUCGGGAGGAACACCAGUGGCGAAGGCGACUCUUUGGCCUAUAACUGACGCUGAGGCGGCGAAAAGCGUGGGGAGCAAACAGG